GACGAACGCUGGCGGCGUGCCUAAUACAUGCAAGUAGAACGCACAGUUUAUACCGUAGCUUGCUACACCAUAGACUGUGAGUUGCGAACGGGUGAGUAACGCGUAGGUAACCUGCCUGGUAGCGGGGGAUAACUAUUGGAAACGAUAGCUAAUACCGCAUAAUAUUCAUUAUUGCAUGAUAAUUAAUUGAAAGGUGCAAUUGCACCACUACCAGCUGGACCUGCGUUGUAUUAGCUAGUAGGGGAGGUAACGGCUCACCUAAGCGACGAUACAUAUCCGAACGGGGAGGGUGAACGGCCAAACUGGGACGGGGACACGGCCCAGACUCCUACGGGAGGCAGCAGGAGGGAAUCUUCGGCAAUGGACGAAAGGCUGACCGAGCAACGCCGCGGGAGUGAAGAAGGGUUUCGGAUCGGAAAGAUCUGUUGUAAGAGAAGAAAGGGUGUGAGAGUGGAAAGUUCACACUGUGACGGUAUCUUACCAGAAAGGGACGGCUAACUACGUG
rnacentral:rRNA from 1 species